rnacentral:ncRNA from 1 species
AUUUUCUAAAUUUACGCCAUAUAAAUUAAGUAUUCUGGGUUAUAUUCCGUGUCAACAUCGCACGGCAAAUAUAUGAAAAUCGCUCAGCCACUUUUGAUAAACAGAACCAGGAUUGUAGGAUGAACCGAGCGUAACGCCACUGUGUCCAAAUUAACAACUCAUGGAGAUACCAUGAAAAGCAUUGAUUGCUUAAAGCACCAGGACAAUGAACAUGUAAGUCGCGAUGCGCUAAACAGUGUGUAACAACUCAUCUGACGACGCAAUCUGCCUUGGAAAUGAAUGGCACUUAAGUUGUUUACCUAUACAUUACCGCUAAGGUAAACUUUACUAUACAUUACG